GAAGAGAAUAAGAAUGAAAGAGGAAGAGAAACAGACCUCCAUACUGCUACCAUGGUGCCACCUUGGCACAGGCAUAAUGGGUCGUAACGAACGGGAGUCUGGGCACAGCAAAGGAAUAGCAAAGCGUAGAAGUAAGGAAGAUGCCAGCAGACAGAGGAUGACUCAGAUGUAGAUGGAUGAAGAAGGCACAGAAGGAAAUUGAAGAGAAAAUGGACGAUAAUAUAAAACUCCGCGGUGUGCCAGCCAGCGGGCAGCAUGCCAGUGUACAGUCAUGGCAUACCCGGCGGGAUCAAAGCAGAUGGCGAAGAACUGUCAUCGUCGUAGACAAGGGGACUCACCUCUGAGGAUUUCCUACUAAUCACCGUUUGUUUGUUUGGACAAAGCCAAAAAGAGGUGCCCGGGCAACGGUUACCAGCGAUUCUGUGAUGGCAUCUUUUCGGGGGCGGCAAGGGCACAGGGAGAAAGAUGGCAUGCUGCCAAGACAACAUAAUACACACAUUUGUAAACAGAAACCUCCAUACGGUGAGCAGAACAUUUCGGAUGCCAUGAGUGUUUUCGGCGAUGGCAUCCCCUCAAGGGAGAGACUAGAAACAGAGAUGGCACCAUGCCAAACUCAAACUGUGAGGCAUUCACAGCCGCCAUCAAAAGCUGUACAAAAAUGGCAAAAACGCAGACAUAAAAUAGUAGAAAAAGGUAGAAAUAGACACAGAAACGCAGCUGUGGCGGGAGUAUGGGACAAAAACCAUUUCCUCGAUGCCAACUCUGCUCAGUGCCAACUGCUGCACUGAAAGGAAGCUGCUGCCCAUUGCAAAGAACUAAGGCAAGGGAUCGUACCAUUCCACUAUGGAGAGGAAGAGUAUGCAAAAGAAGAGGAAUAAUGAGCAAAAGAAUAAAGGAUAUAGAAGAAGAAAAUAUGAGGAAUUUUGUGCUUAACGAAGAACAGUGGGAGUGGGUGGACAAGGAUGAUGAAGAGCCUCUUUCCUGCACUUGCACACCUGGGAUGUUCUUAAAGGGAUAUCCCCUCAGACUGCUCUGUGUUAAAGGGAGGGAUGCAUUGGCAUCAUCUCCAGGAUGUCAAGCUGUGUUUCUCUAUUGCCAGUCAAGGAGGGUGCUGCAGUCGUCAGGGGCGGGCAACUGUCUGGGCAUCUCAUCUGCAGCUAAUUAACAGCCACACACUAAUUCUAACAGCCGAUCAUAAUUAGCGAUUUAAUCGCUCGUCAACGCUUUUCUCCCCCCCUAAAUUGUGCCUCCUAUUUGGACACGUGCGGAUAAGCUAAGGAACGCCGGAUCCCCCUCCCCUCCUCCUCGUCCUUCUUUCCUUCAUCCUUGGCUCCAGACUCCAGUGGGAUCUUAAUUAAGCCUGGGCUUCAUUAUGCAAAUGGAGUACAAUAAACGACAGCAGAGGUGGAGCUGGAUACAGACUAAAACGGAACGGUGGGAGGGGAGCACUGGAAGUGGAAAAUGAAGAGAUGUGGAAGGUUACCAAAAUUGUCUAUAUGAUUUUACUGCGUUACAAUAAUUGCAUAUUGUUGUAACAUGCACGUCUUCAGUUUGCCAGCGCUAUUUGUGGUGUGAGAACCAACAUUUCGCACUCUGAUGCUCCAUCUCUGCUGCCACUGGGAAAACUUCUCUGUAAUAACACUGGAUAUGCAGAAUGUCAUCUCUCACAAAGAAAAUUCAUAAGGGAAUGGUGACAAUGAACCCCUUAAUAUCACCAGUUGGCUGUUGUCGUGGAUAUGAAGAAAGAUAGUAGAUAUGGGGACAGAGAAAAGAGGCAGACAGAAACACUGACAGUGGCAGCAGCAUGGCAGCUAAUGUCAUCUCAGUUUAAUCAUCGCAUGGGAUCAUGGGGUUCAUGAAAAUUCAUUUGCAUAUCAUUAAAUAGAGAGAGGUUAUUUGGUGUGGGCAGCCAAAAUGGGAUUGGAUGAAGGAAAGAAAAAAAAAAGGAAAAUGGAGGGGCUCGUUAUUAAACAGCAAUGUUUUAUAGUCCGCCAGCCGAUUCAUUUAAUUUGGGCGUAAUUAAAAUGUGUCAGACUCAAUCAAUCAUUCCAACGGGGAUACUAUCAAUGUUUCAGUCUGAAAAAGACUAAUCAGUGGAUAUGCGGUCGGACAUUUUCCAAUAACAGUCUGAGAGCUUUACUCUACUCUCAGCUUGACCGAUCGACUUUUAUUUCUGAUUUAUCAGAAGCAGUGUAUCAAGCAUGCAGUUUAACUUCCGUGAAUUGUGUCAAGACAUAUCUAUCUGACAGGUGGUGAUGCCAUCCUGUGCUAGUCAAUAAGAGGGUAGCUCACACUGUCUUUUUGACCUUAGUAAUAAGCUGUCCGUGGUGUGUAUGUAUGUGCAUGCCCGUGUACAUUUCUCAUUUGCAUAAGUGAUGUAAUUAGACCACCCUUUCACAUGCAGAUCAGUUUGACAACACGGCAAACACUCUAACACACACAUACAGCCAUACACACGCUUAUACACACGACAACACACGCUUGCCGCCGUGACCACCCCCAUAUCAUGGGGAGUCUGUUGUCUGUGAGCAGAGAGUGUAAAGAUUAACAUAAUCCAGCUAAUAAGUGUGAGUAAUAUUCACACAGUGACGCGUGGCAAAGACACUGUCCUGCUGAUGCGUAUUUGUAUCUCAUUAUAGAUGUAAAGUACUGUGGCCGCCAGUAGAUAGGGAGGGGAGGCGCGUGUGGAUGGGGGAUGGUGUGGGGUCACAAAGUGUGGGCCUGAAUGAACAGAUACCCAAGAAAAAAUAAUAAACAGCAGUAUUUUUACUUUUACAGUUACUCUGCCCUGAAAGGGAGGUGUCGACGUAGCAUAAAGACAGAUUACACAGCAUUCCUCAUAACCAGAAUGCUGGAGGUUGGUUAAGGAGGGCCUUCUAAUGUCUCCACAAAUUCAGAAAGACAAUUACACUGAUUAUUCAGUCUGUUUACAGUACUAAAAAGCCACAGAGUCCAUUUUUGCAGAAGAAUGUAGGAAUUAUAAAUAGAGUGUAUUUGCGCUUGCAGGCUAGCUCUGCCAUAUGAUUGAUUAGGAUGGUGUGACGACCAUUAAAAAGUCAUUUAAAAGAUGGAUAGGGACCACAUUUCCAAAUAAAAACCACUUUAUACCUGAUGAAGUGCUGAACAAACUCUCCUUCAAAGACAUUUACUGAUUACUCUCGGGGUAUGACUGAGUGUAAUGUGGGAAGUACCCAUGAACUGUGUGUACCUCUGCAUCAGCUGUAGACGACUCCAAAGCAAAUGUCUGUGUACAGUCAGGCAGUGGGUGAUGCAGCUUGCAUUUUUGAAACUAAAAUUUGACCAUUUAGAUUACAAGAAGCAGAAGUGACAUUCAUUUGGACAGAGGUGAAGUCUAUCUGCGUACAAGUAGGCGCACACAGAAAUAAACGACACAAACAGGCCAACACACGCACACACUGAUUGAAAUGUAUCUGAUAGCACAGCGUCGCUUCAGCCGAAACCUUAUCCUAAGAAGCAGAGGUGUAUCUAAAUGUGCGAAUGUAUUUCGGCUCUGUCUCUUUAACUCGGGGCUCCACCACAGCAGCAUGCUUUGGGAUUCAUGCAUAAACAUGAGCUGGCCUUUCAGCUCUCUCCUCACAUAACCAAUCUAAAUCUAAAUGAGCCCCCACUACAGAUACACCAGCAGGCAAUGACAUUACACCCCCUCCCCAGCCCCAGCCCAACCCCCUACUCUACCCUACUACCCCCAGCGACACAUAUACACCAGCAGGCAAUAAUUUCACGCCAUCCCUCAAAGCCCCCCCUCUACCUACUCUCCACACACACACUCGUACCCCUUUUUGCCGCAACCCCACCAGCUGCACAGUACUCAUUUGAUUAAGAGGGGGAGGACAGGGAGAAGGAGAAAUGGUGGGGGAUCACUUUAUCAGGAUGACUUUCUAAGAUGGCUAUCAUCAGCUACGAAGCUAUCUCAAGCCCUCUUGUGUGUAUACUUUGCUGUUGUUUUCCCCGUGUAUCUGUUUGUCUCCUCCCUGCAGCUCCAAUCAGAACAUAACAGUUUCACGGUUACAUUUUCCGUUGUCGCAUUUCUGUGUAAUGGUUAAAUAAAUGGCUUGCUGCUAGAGAAAAAAGGGAGCAGAUACCAGAUUGUGCCUGACUUGAGUGUGACUCUGAAGAAACAACACAUUCCCAUGUUCAUUUAAGCUUUUCCUCUUUGGCAAGUUGUCUCAUCAACCGCAGGAAAGAUUUACAUAAGAAAGAACAAAAUAAUAAAAUCUUCUCU
ensembl:lncRNA